rnacentral:misc_RNA from 1 species
UACAGAGGGUGCAAACGUUGCUCGGAAUCAUUGGGCGUAAAGCGCGUGUAGGCGGCCUGGUAAGUCGGCUGUGAAAGCCCUCGGCUCAACCGAGGAAGUGCAGCCGAAACUACCAGGCUAGAGUUCCGAAGAGGGUGGCGGAAUGCGCAGUGUAGAGGUGAAAUUCGUAGAUAUUGCGUAGAACACCAGUGGCGAAGGCGGCCACCUGGGAGGCGACUGACGCUGAGACGCGAAAGCGUGGGGAGCAAACAGG